CAAGGUUGACUUCGUAGGUGUUCAGGAGCCAGCUCACUGGUAUUCCAAGGCCAGGUGUGGUGGCUUAUGCCUAUAAUCCUGGCACUUUGGGAGGCUGAGGCAGGAGGAUCGCUUGAGUCCGGGAGUUCAAGACCAGCCUAGGCAACUGUGAGAUCCCAUCUCUACAAAAAAUACAAAAAUUAGCUGGAUGUAGUGAUGCACAUCUGUAGUCCCAGCUACUCGGGAGGCUGAGACUAGAGGAUCACUUGCACUCAGGAGUUCGAGGCUGCAGUGAGCUAUGAUCGUGCCACUGUGGCUGCCUUGUGGAUAUUGUAUGAGAGAAGGACAUGACUGUAAGUAGGGAGAGCAGUCGGGAUGGUAUUUAAGAGACAUUUAGUCCAGUUGUCUUCAUUUUAUAGUUAAGGAAGCCUUGAUCCAGGAAAUAAGCAAGGCUGACUUGCUCACAGAUGCACAGCUGGUUUGAAGGUCUAGAGUGAAACUAAGAUCUUUGGAAGUUUAAUGUUGUUUGAGCUACAUGAUCACAAGUCAGUAAAUGUCUUCAUUCUAUAAAAGUAUGCUCUUUUAUUACACUUGUGUUUUCAUAUACGUACAAUUUUCUGGUGCUAAAUUAAGAGAAAGUGAUUUUUAAAAAAAUUAU
rnacentral:lncRNA from 1 species